CGUACGCUGGCACCAUCGGGCUUGGAAACGGAGCGGCUAUCGCGACAGGGCUUUGGUGACCAAUGCAACAUUUCUGCUUUGGUUCAGUUCUUAUGACAUCCUGAGGUCUAGUAUACUAGUAUACAACUAUGCAUUCAAUGCUUGGCUAGAAGUAUACAGGAGACGCAUCACAACAUUUAGGCAAGAUGAAAAGAGCGAAGGAAAUAGCACAAGGAAAAGAAAACCUGCCCCGCACCUGAGAUCCUCUCUGUAUGGUGGUCCUGCUUCACUUCCUGCGCCUCAGACCCAAGGAAGAGCACUGCUGCAGCGGUGGCGGCAAGAAUGGCGAUGGCGAAGACCUGCCUCAUGUUCAUGCUCGCCGCAAGCCCCUUGGCAGCACCUGUGUCUCCUUCCCAAGCCUCCCCUUGUGUGGCCUCACAUUCUCAUGAGCUAGGUAAUAGUCACAGUGGUAGUUAAAGGUGUAAGGCAAGGAUGAAGCUUUUGUGCCAAUUUUCCUACCAAGAAGCGUUUGGUGGAGAGGUGAAAUGGAGCUUUCCUGGGCUUGCUUCAUUCUUCCUCCUCUCCUGCUGCACACUAACAACAUCACAUAUCAGGAGCAAUAACAGUCAAUGCGUACUUCAAAGGGGGGAGCAGGGUUCUGAUUGGAAAAAUUUCGCGUGGUACUCAUAAGUUGUAACAGCAUUGAGUAGGUAAGUAGGGCCAUUCAGGCAAUGGUGGGGUUUGUAUCCUAUCUCAGUGGGAUGAUGGCUUUGAAAUGACCAGAUCUUGCAGCAAUCAGGAAGCAUGCAACAUCAACGAAGAGGUCACGGAAUGAGUUGGUGAGGCCUAUAAGAAAAUAGCUGAACUGAUAAAGCUGCAUGAGGAGGAAGUACCUCAUACUGCAUGAUUUCUGCCUAAGAAAGAAAAUUCUGGGACCACCCCCCUGCCCUUUUCAAGGCAUCACCGAACAUUCUGACGUUCCGUUGCGGACUCAUGUGCUCUUAUCUUCUUGAAGAGUUCUGUCCACAGAUGACAUACCGCAAAAGAGAGCUAGUCCCAUCUGACAUGCUAGAUGCUACCUUGAGCCAAAUAAGCCGUUUACUUGUAUCCAGUAUGCUUACUAUCUAUAUAUCUUCGGUUGGAAGUAAACUGGCAUCCUUCAUGAAUGACGCGUGUGUGGUCUACAUACAUCAGAACCUAUGUGAAAAAUGCUGAAGUCUGUAGCCUUUUGAUCACAGAACCUGUGAUGUCUGCUUUGUUCGACCGACUGUUGUAAUCACUCACCAGAUUCCUACGACAUGUUCUCUAGAAGGUUGAAAUGUGUCAGUAACUCAGUAUGCAUUCAUACCGAACAGAAGAUAAGGGACAAUGGAAAGGGAACAAGAAAGAAAAGGUAUGCAAUAUACUGUAGUGACUUGGUCAUCUAUCUGUUCCGAUGUAAACUCUGAACGCUGAACCCAUGUACUGAUGUACAAACUCGGAGGAAAGCAGGGCAUCUCAUCCAAACGACCGGGACGGUUAAGGCGUCCCUCUCUGCUUCCCCAGGAGACUUGGAAGGGCAAAAGAUUGCCACACGUAAUCUGUGUCGAGCCUUUCUGAACCAGUGGCAAGGCUAUCAGGAAUCGUCAGCUGGGUGGCCAAGCCUCCUCCAGGUCAUGUCGCCGUCUUCGAAGUCCUUUUUAUUUGCUUGUGCAUGCAGUCCCUUGGCAUGUAAGGGUAAGGAUUAGGAGGCCUGAAUCGGCUAUAAAGGUUCAGACUUGGAGUGGAUAUUUGCGGUCAAGGGGUUGGUGGAGCCCUGGAGGCCUUAAAAAUACCGAUAAAGCGUCUGUCAACCGAUCGACUGUCAACUGGUAGUAGGAAAAAGGGAAAACUAAAUGUUGUAGGAAGUCAAAUUUUCAGAAAUUCGGCCAUGAUGGGAAACUGAGUGUGAGCCUCUGUCGAUUACAGAAAUAUGUCUACAUCAUCUCGUGAGAUGUUUAACCAAGAAUUUAGCCACCAUUUCAAAGA